GCAUUGCUAAAAGUACUCUACACUGCCAAAAAGCUGGAAUACACAUAUUUUGUUCACUCAUUAUGUGUGCUAGGAAGGCUUCUCAUGUACAUGAAUGGGAGAAAGCUCUUUCCCAUCAAAGUGGGGAAAAGCAAAGAUCCAGUCAGUCUGACAGACCUGGUUGUCAUUCUGAUUAGCAUCAUGUACCAACACCCCAAGCCUCUGCACAGUGACUCGUUGCAUGCAGGCCAGAUUAAACUCCCCAGAAACUGCUCUCAUAUAGCAGACACUCUCACAAGAAUUGCCACCACGGAAUGAGGAUUGUCGCUUUUCUUAUAUGAAAGAAAUCUAGUUUCUGCCGAGAGUGAAGGUGUGGUUUGGGAGGAGACUUUCCUGAACCUGAACGUUCUGAACUUUUCUGCCACUCUGAAAGGCCUGCUGCUCCUCCAGCAUACUCCAGUUUCACCAAGAAACUACAGGCAAGACCAUGUGACAAGUUUGGCUACAGUGUGAUGGUGACACAGGUAGCAGCAACAACCCCUGGUGUGGUGGCAUUACACAGCUCAGGUUUCGUGCAGGCCUUAGUGGUGGAGCUGUGGUCGGUUCUGGAGUGUGGGAGAGAGGAUGUGAGGGUCGUUCACCCCAAGUCCAUCCGCAUGGACUUCAUUGACAGCAGCUGUGUGAAGAUUACUAAGUGUGUGAUGCUGCAACCUAGACUCCCUCCUGCAUCUGAAGUCACAGUACAACAUUUACGACAUGUUGUUGCGAUGUCAGAAGGACAACAUCACCGAUACAUUGUCUGGUGAAGUGUAUUUGAAAAGCUGUUUGUUUUCCUGUGCCUCAUAAUGUUAUGACAGGCUGUGGUUCCACCGGUAGUCUAAUCAUGACAAAAUAAGAAAUUGAUCAUUUGCCUUGUCACAGUAAAAAGAAAUAAAGUGUAAACAAAAGGCCAUUUCCAAAAGUGUUUUUUGAAUGCCUCCAUAAUGGAUAUUGUGACUGGUCAUGAAUUGAAAUGCUGUGAAUUGUCUGGUCACAAAAUAAAUGUGCCUGCAUGCACGGCAGUUUUGUUUCUGAAUUAGAGAUCACCUAAUUUCUCCUCCCAUUUUUGUAUCCCCUCCCCUAUCUUCAUCAUUGAUGGUCUGUCUGUUGAGAGGAACCACAUCCUGGUGCGUAUGAGUGCGAUUGGAGGACUAUCGGAGAGGAGACUUCCCCCUAGGGCCCUCCAGAAGACUCUGAGAUAAGUGCCUUCCUGGCCUCCACCAAGGACUCAGAGAAGGAUGGGAGCUGGAUGGAUACCUGCAGGAGACAAUACUGUAAAGUCAUGACCACCAAGUCCAACAUUGUCUCAGCAAAUGGGGGUGAUAUAUUAUGAUGUUAUGUAUAUAAAAACAUUUUUAAAUAUAUUACUGGUCAGGUUAUUACUGGUCAGGUCACAUGGUCAGAGCGAAAAAAAAGAAGAUUUUGAAUAGUUUAUCAAUAAAACCUGGGAAUCCAUAUUUCAAUGUUCUUGCCAUUCCAAUAUGCUACAAUCCACACUGUAUUUGAGAAUUAUAGCGCUGUUGGGUUAUAACUCAUCUGUUUUAUAUUCAAACUACAGACAGGGACCAGAGUUUGUUAACAUUUGAUAGUCCAUUACAUUCCCAUGAAUAAAUGGAUGAUACAUUUGUCAGUGGAUGAAAUGAUAGGCCCAUAUUGGGUGUGCUGCUAGACUACUAGAUAAUGAAGAACCAAUAUCUCUCUGCCUACAACUGCACAUGUAUAGAUGAUCACUUUGCCUGGGUAACAGUAAAUAACGGUGAAGAUGACUAAUUUACCCACAUAAGAUUUUAAUUUACUGUAACAUGUACUGUACUGUUGCACUCUCUGAGGGUGUUUAUGUCAUUGAUUGGUUGCUAUUCAUGUCAUUGUGUGUUCAAUUGCUUCCUCUGAAUGUCACUUCAAAGAGUUCCAUUCUGAGUUAUUGGUUGUGAAGGGAUUGCGGUGUACAGAGUAAGAGACUUCCUGAUUGCUUAUUUCAUUCAGAGACAAAUAAGCACCCAGGACGAAGGCUUUUGAUGUAUCUUAGAAAUAAGAAAAAAUGUCUACACAGAGUUUCCUUUCUUUAUAUAAUAGAUAAACAAGAUGCUUGAUUACCUUACUAUUUUCCCUGCUGUGUGUAUAAUAAAGGCAGCACAAUUUGUA